UCCAGUGUAUACCUUCGUGAUUUUUGUAUUCAAUCUCAGAAAUCUGAAAGAAAGUAUCAGAAAGGGAAGAGAUUCGUCAACCAAAAUUUAAACCGAGUUCAAAAAAUAAUGAGCUGACUGGAUUUGCAAUCGACGUUUAAACAGAUUUUCUUUCAAAUCCCAAUACUUGAAAUUUAUGCUGCAAAACGAUCUCCACCUGAAAUUGAUUCUAUUUAUUAAGUCCAGUAGAAAAUGUCCUGCAUUGGAAAGAGCAUGGUCCCAUCGAUAAAUCGAAAAAAAAACUAAAAGUGUGGAAAAGGGAUUUGAUUUCAGCGUAUAAUUCCGCAUAUCCUGGUACAAUAUUGUCAUUUUUUGAAAAUUAUUUUAUAUAGGUUUACGUAUUGCUUGAAAUUAAUCCCACAGAAAAUGGAAAAAAUGUAAACAGGCGAUUAGGAAAAGGCGAUUAUGAGUCAGUGAGUUCGCAAGAUAUAAAAAAUCCAGCCAGGCUUUACCUCACUUGCCUUAUUACUUGGAAUGCAAAUAUGACCAAAAUUUCGAUCAAAGUGGCAGCAAAGUGGUGGUUACAAUAUCUACUGUCAAAAGCGAA